UAGUUAACAAUGAUUAUAAAAAUAAUUCUUUGUUCUAACUUGCUUAGUUUUGGACAUGACAAACCUCUUCUUACACCUAUAGAAUCUAAGCUAC
rnacentral:snoRNA from 1 species